GGUGGUGUCAUUCGAGUGUCGAAAGUUGUGGAGAUUAGACGUGUCGUCUUUCUCGAGGUUAGUAGCCAAUUGUUGAGAUAUAUAACUUUCAAGGCGGGAAAAGGAAUUUUCAAUAUGGACGCCAAUAUGACAGUUGACUUUUUAUGAAGAAAUAAAGUUUGAAUUUUUAUCUUGAAGACAGACAAAAUUAUUUUAACCGCGCGCAAUGCGGUUAAUAGAUUCAGUGUUUGUUUCGUAAUAAUUUUUUUUAUGUUUUUUAGAGGAUAAUAGCUCUAAAUAAAUUUAAUUAUAAUAGUUAUACGCGAAAUUAGAAUCAGUGCUUGUUCGCCGAUUACAUAAUUUGAACGGACGCGAUAGUUUCUUAUUUUUAUUUUUUUAUUUUAAAUAUUCGUUUUCGGUACAGAAUAGAGUCAGUGCUUCUCUCAAGAGAAUAAGGCGAUCAUCCAUCACGCGAAAAGGUAUUGAAGAUUUCUUUAUAUUUGUGGCUACGCGCAAUGUAGUCGGUAGAGUCAGUGUUUGAUUCGUAAUAAUUAAUAUAACUAAUAAAAUAAUAAUAUACUAUAAUUAUUUUUUGUUUUAAAGUUCCAAGUAAAUAUAAUUAAAAUAAUCAUAUGCGGAAUUAGAGUCAGUGCUUGUUCCGAUUAUUCAAAUAAUCGAACGCGUCUUUUUUUUUUUUUUUUUUAAUUAUUCGUUUUCGGUAUAAGUUAGAGUCAGUGCAUCAAGAAAAUAAUGCGAUUAUCCAUCACACGAAGAGGUAAUUAUUUUUUCAUGUUUCAUUUCUCGUUAUUAAUCUUUUAAAUCAAUAUUAUAUUUCAAAUUAUGAUGUUUCAAGUUUUGUUACAGUUUUCACAGUCUCCUGUUUUAUGAUAAUGGUUUCCUAUGAGCAAUAUAGAUUCUUCGCAUCGAAUGGUGAGUCGCAUGCAUUUUUAUUCCUCCGGUUACUCAAUCAUGUCGAAGGAUGAAAGGUUCGAAUCGACACGGGUAACUGGUUGUAUACGUAGAAUUUUGCACGAGCACAGUGACCUCGGGUAUUUAUUAUACUCGUGACAUUUCUUCUUUUAUUUAUCAGAUCAGGAUAGAGUUUUCUUGCACGUUGCGUUUUUAAAACAAAAAUAAACAAAAAAU